GAUGAAGAACGCAGCGAAAUGCGAUAAGUAAUGUGAAUUGCAGAAUUCAGUGAAUCAUCGAAUCUUUGAACGCACAUUGCGCCCCCUGGUAUUCCGGGGGGCAUGCCUGUCCGAGCGUCAUUGCUGCCCUCAAGCACGGCUUGUGUGUUGGGCCCCGUCCUCCGAUCCCGGGGGACGGGCCCGAAAGGCAGCGGCGGCACCGCGUCCGGUCCUCGAGCGUAUGGGGCUUUGUCACCCGCUCUGUAGGCCCGGCCGGCGCUUGCCGAUCAACCCAAAUUUUUAUCCAGGUUGACCUCGGAUCAGGUAGGGAUACCCGCUGAACUUAAGCAUAUCAAUAAGCGGAGGA
rnacentral:misc_RNA from 1 species